UAUCUUUAGCACUUUUAACAACACGACGACCCUCUUCCUCAUCACUACUUUCCUCGCUGCUUUCACCACGGAGAAACUUAAGACCAGCGGGUUUGGCCUCUUCUUUUUCGGGUUUCUUUAAGAAACUAGAAGGGCCAGAACGUUCAGAUUCAUCAGAUUCCUCUUCAGAUUCAGAUUCCUCCUCAGACUCAGACUCGGACUCAGACUCGGACUCAGAUUCAUCAGAAACUUCGCUAUCCUCUUCGGAUUCAGUCUCUUCUUCCUCUUCUGAGCUUUCAGAGUCAGAUUCAGAGUCUUCGGAAGCAGCCACGGCCUUUUUCUUGGGAACCUCUACUUCUGACUCUUCGCUUUCAGACUCUUCUUCAGAUGAUUCGGACUCCGAACUGGAUGCGCUUUCCUCUUCACUUGAUUCUUCUUCAGAUGAAGAGUCAUCUUGUUUCUUCAACCUUGAAGAGGUUAAACGGUUUUCUUCAGAGGAGUCAACGGAUUCUGCAUCGCUGUCGCUAGAGCCUCCCUUGAAGAAUCUCGACAUGUUGGUGGUUGGCAAGUUUUUUUUCGUGCAGCAGUCAAAGGA